AGUAAACCUAACCAGCAGCUCUAGUGAACCAGAAUCAAGUGACCCUUAUCUCUUCAACGUAAACAUAGAAAUAUCCCACCAAAUCCGCCUGCUGCUCACCUCUCACAUCCGCUUACAACCCUCUUCUCCUUUCUCACACUCCAUCUCUGAAGCUUGCAGGCUCCAUGUGCGAUUUCAGCAGAUUUCAGGUUCUUCAAGAGGAUUCGGAGACUCGAGACGACAACAAGCCUCAGUUCGCUGUCACGGAGAAGGUAAUCACACUCGUCUUCUCUUCGUCUUUAAUUUUUUAUAAAAGCAGAAAUGUAAUUGUUCAAGCAUUUUCUCUUAGUUUGUUUGGUUUAGUUGCCUGAAAAGUGAUCGUUCGAUGGUUAUGGUUGUUUUGUUUGAUUCUGUGCACCUGAACCCGACUACU